rnacentral:tRNA from 2 species
GGCGGUGUAGCUCAGCUGGCAAGAGUACACGGUUCAUACCCGUGGGGUCGAGGGUUCAAAUCCCUCUGCCGCUACCA